rnacentral:lncRNA from 1 species
UUGCACAAUAAAAUGGUUUGUCUCUGAUGGCAGUGGUUCUGACACUCACAUUUAUAGAAAAGCGAAGGUGCUUUGUCAGUGAAAACAUUUUUCCAAUAAGAUGGUAGAUUUUCGUUGAAGUAUCCAUAAAUUUAGUGCAAUUGGCCAAUUGCUAUGUGUACUACAUUUCGUUCUGUUCAGCUUCCUUGUUCCCGUCAUUGUUUUAAUUGAAUGUCUGGUUAUCAUUAUGGUCCUAAGGUUUCUAUUCAAAAAGAGACAGUAAUUUUUGUGGGGAAUUUCUGGUGAGAAAUACUUUGGCACUUUGAAGUUGGGGAACUAAACUCUAGUUUCUCUCACAAUUCUUAAGGUUAUGGCAUUCUCAGUUGGUGCAUGGUAGUUUGAAGAGUAACCUUAGAAUUUCUAUAACCUAACACCUCGAUUGGAUUUGAACUGGAAUUUUGACAAGGGUAUUUCCUGUUGCAGGAUUGAUGAGAACAUGGAAGACACAUUGGUAAAUGUAGAGGGUGCACAAGGGCAACUGCUCAAGUAUAUGAAUAGCAUAUCAUCAAAUAGGUGGCUGAUGAUCAAGAUAUUCUUUAUAUAAAUUUUUUUCCUCAUGGUUUUCCUAUUUUUUGUGGCAUAAUAGUCAUUGCAGAGACAAUUGAAAAGG